rnacentral:rRNA from 1 species
GUGUCAGCAGCCGCGGUAAUACGGAGGGUGCAAGCGUUAUCCGGAUUCACUGGGUUUAAAGGGUGCGUAGGUGGAUCGGUAAGUCCGUGGUGAAAUCCCUGAGCUUAACUCAGGAACUGCCGUGGAUACUAUCGAUCUUGAAUGCCGUGGAGGUAAGCGGAAUAUGUCAUGUAGCGGUGAAAUGCUUAGAUAUGACAUAGAACACCAAUAGCGAAGGCAGCUUGCUACACGGUAAUUGACACUCAGGCACGAAAGCGUGGGGAGCAAACAGGAUUAGAUACCCUCGUAGUCC